UACAGAGGUGGCAAGCGUUGUUCGGAAUUACUGGGCGUAAAGGGCGCGUAGGCGGCCAUCUAAGUCAGACGUGAAAUCCCCCGGCUUAACCUGGGAACUGCGUCUGAUACUGGACGGCUUGAGUAUGGGAGAGGGAUGUAGAAUUCCAGGUGUAGCGGUGAAAUGCGUAGAUAUCUGGAGGAACACCGGUGGCGAAGGCGGAUCUCUGGGCCUUACCUGACGCUCAGGCGCGAAAGCUAGGGGAGCGAACGGG
rnacentral:rRNA from 1 species